rnacentral:misc_RNA from 1 species
UAUGCUUAUUUUUUUUAAUUUUUUUGUAUUUGUUAUCUUGCCUAUGUCAAAUGCCUACGUGUGAUCAAUGAUGUGUUAACUGGAACUUGUGCUUUUUUAUAGUGAGAAUGAUCAGUGAUGUGUUAACUGGAACUUGUGAUUUUUUAUAGUGAGAAUUCUAUAAUUUCUAACUUCGCAUACACAUCAGUUGCACGGGUUUUAGAUUUAUCUUAUGGACCUCUAAAAUAAUUAAUUAGCUAAUUUAACAUAUAAACUGAACUUCACCUGUAAAUUUACUAUGUUACCCAACAUCAUCUUGUUUGAUUUGAGAGCUGUUUUUGUAAUCUAGUCAUUGCCUGGGAAGUGCUCUUUUUUAGUAUUUUAUUGUUCCUUUAUUGUGUGGUCCUUUUUGACACAUUAGCAUGAGCUUAUCAGGUUUGGCACUUCCCAUCCAACUACUAAUAAUAUACUUUGUACCAAGUUCUUUAUCAAUGAUAAUACAACGAUGACUGUUUUUCUUUACAGCUGGAUUUGUUAUCUGGGCAUACCUCACAAAAAGAUACAGCUGCUGUUAAAACUGAAGAGGUUAAUUCAAACCAACCAAAUCAAAGAAAAGUAUCCUGUGAUUAUCCUCCGUGUUCAAUUAUGCCAAUAAGUGCAGCAUGCAAUAAACUUGAGCCAUCUUCGCCCAAUUCUUCUUUCAAGAAAGAAGAGGUUGGAGAUCAGGAGCUUUCCUUCGUGCUACCUGACCUAAAUCUUCCUGUUGAAGAUAACUCGGGCCCUGAUGUUCUAUAUGGGAUUAGCUGAGAAGAAUCACUUAUAUACUGGUAGUCUUCUUUUCAAAUCAAUAGCAGCAUUUGUUCUUUUAAUCUGCAGUCCUAACAGCAUCACAAAUUGAGUUAAUGUAAGUACUAUAACCAAUUAACUUCACGGCAUCUUUACCUGGAUGCGAACUCUGUUAUUUAUACUGAAAGUACUGAGGGGUAGUGUAGAGAUCCUAAUCAUUAGUUACAGCUUAGAUUCUUUCUUUGAGCAGAUUUCUACAUUCAUCCAAAUUCUUUGGGGCCAACCAACCCUCCUUCCUUCUGCUUUCUUUUUAGGAAAUAUUAACAGAUAAGUUGUAAUUACUCCAUAAAUAAUCACAUGUUUUGGUACUAUGUGAUUUUAACUAGAUGUUUCAUCGGUUUUCAGUUUAUUUUUUUUGCUCAGAUUUUGAUUUUUUUGGAAAUGGCAACAUGUUGCUUGUAUAGCUAGCUAGAUUUUAAUACCAGUUGCAGGUAUUUUUGAUUGUUAUUAUGAUAUUGGCAUGCAGUACUUGGGAACGUGAGUUGUGGAA